AUUGAACGCUAGCGGGAGGCUUAACACAUGCAAGUCGAGGGGUAUUGUAGCAAUACAUUAGACCGGCGCACGGGUGAGUAACGCGUAUGCAACCUGCCGUUAACCGGGGGAUAGCCCGUCGAAAGGCGGAUUAAUACCCCAUAAUAUUGGGAUUCUGCGUGGGAUUUCAAUUAAAGCUGAGGUGGUUAACGAUGGGCAUGCGUGACAUUAGCUAGUUGGUAGGGUAACGGCCUACCAAGGCUACGAUGUCUAGGGGUUCUGAGAGGAAGGUCCCCCUAACUGGUACUGAGACACGGACCAGACUCCUACGGGAGGCAGCAGUGAGGAAUAUUAGUCAAUGGGCGAGAGCCUGAACCAGCCAUCCCGCGUGCAGGAAGACGGCCCUAUGGGUUGUAAACUGCUUUUGCGCAUGAAGAAUGUUACCGACGUGUCGGUAAGUGACGGUAAUGCGUGAAUAAGCAUCGGCUAACUCCGUGCCAGCCGCCGCCGUAAUAC
rnacentral:rRNA from 1 species